CCGUGUGUACGUUCAAUACAAUGGCACCUACAUGUGUUAACGAUCUGAUUAUCCACGAUCGUCCACUGGAGACCUGUUUUUCUCCGACGUGGAGCUGCAGGUAGCCAACAUACACGGCUCGACAUCCCAGGUCCCUGUGUGGAUUCCAGGCGACAGAAAGUGGAGUGUUGGAAUUUGCUUUCUCAUGUCAACACAUUAAAACGUGAUGUUGAGAUUAUCGUAACGCAUGCCGAAGAAACGCCGACUCGCGCAACCUAUAGCCUGUAUUUGGUGGACCCUUGAUUAUAAAGAAGCACAUUCCAUCCAGUAUCGUAACAGCUAAUCACUUAUAAAGGAGAGCGAUGUUUUGCUCGACAGUAUAUUCUGUUGACGGGGAUGAUUGUACACGUUUGUGCUGCCUGUAAUUGCUCCAUUGCAGUAUAUGGGACGAAAGACAGACAAUGCACAACCCAAUACUACAAAGGAGGAGAUCUGGUCUGUUCAAAGGACAAGAUGGCGCCCCUCUGAAUCUCAACGCAACCAAGAAGCGUCCCGAACGCGAUGGUUUACCGACACCGGAACGGGUGUCACCACCGGUACCGGUACCCGUAACUCCGGACCGGAAGUCAUUCCGCAAUGGCGACGACAUCUCAACGCGAAGCACUGGGCAAACGACCCCUCCAGUGUUUCUACAGAAGAAACAGUUUUCUUUUGCAGGCGAUAACCUUCGGGAAAAGUCUAGAGAAAACUUAUUUUCGAAAUCCAAUACCCCACGAACUAAGUGUCGAAACGAUCGCGCAAGGAGAA